rnacentral:rRNA from 1 species
GACGAACGCUGGCGGCGUGCCUAAUACAUGCAAGUUGAGCGCUGAAGGUUGGUACUUGUACCGACUGGAUGAGCAGCGAACGGGUGAGUAACGCGUGGGAAAUCGGCCUUGGAGGGGGGGACAACAUUGGGAAAGGAAGGCUAAUACCGCAUAAAAACUUAAAACACAAGUUUAAGGUUUGAAAAAGCAAAUUGCAUCACCCAAAGAUAAUCCCGCGUUGUAUUAGCUAGUUGGUGAGGUAAAGGCUCACCAAGGCGAUGAUACAUAGCCGACCUGAGAGGGUGAUCGGCCACAUUGGGACUGAGACACGGCCCAAACUCCUACGGGAGGCAGCAGUAGGGAAUCUUCGGCAAUGGACGAAAGUCUGACCGAGCAACGCCGCGUGAGUGAAGAAGGUUUUCGGAUCGUAAAACUCUGUUGGUAGAGAAGAACGUUGGUGAGAGUGGAAAGCUCAUCAAGUGACGGUAACUACCCAGAAAGGGACGGCUAACUACGUG